AGCACUCAACUCAAAAACAAUGAGAGAGAAAAAUAUAAGAGAUCAUGGAAUGUUGUUUUUUUAAGUUUAAACUAUGAGACAGAGUAAUUUGUUUGAGAUUAAUUCUUAAAAAGAAAGUUUAACAUUCAAAAAAAAAAAAUUGUUUGAGAUUAACAAACACAUCAUUAAACAAAGAGCAUCAGAUCCUAUCAAAACUCCGAAGUUUAGCAUGCUUGAAUAAGAGUAUACUAAGAAGUCUGUGUAUUACAAAAACCAAUUGAGACAAACAAUAAAUUUGGCCUUUUUUUAAAAAAAAAAAA
rnacentral:lncRNA from 1 species